AGCCCAGUUGCACCCAAGUAAAAUAAACAGUCUUGUUGCUCACACAAAGCCUGUUGGUGGACUCUCUUCAUAUGGACUCAUGUGACAUUUGGUGCCGAAGACCUGAGACAGGAGGACUCCUUUGGGAGACCGGUCCCCUGUCCUCGCCCUCUCUCCAUGAGAUCCACCCAUGACCUCGGGUCCUCAGCCCAGCCGAAGGAACUUCUCACCAAUUUUAAAUCGGGGACGCAAAGCCAACAAGAAUGAAGAAGUGGCCAGGAAAUUAAAGCAAUGUGAACACCCUCUGGCCAGCCUGUUGGAGGGUGAGAGACCACAUGGAGGAGACAGAGCCCUGAUGUCCCAGCUGAGGACAUCCCAGAAAAGCCUAUUUCCAGACAACUGAGGACAGGUGAAUGAGUUCUUUGUAGAUGAACCAGAAUCCAGUCUAUCUACCUGCUGAGCACAGACAUGUGAGCAACCCCCCCAUCAAGGUCAACUGAGCCUGGCCCAGAUCAACAGAAUCACGAGAUGACCUAUGGACUCAGGAGCAAUCAUGAUGUGGUUGUUCCAUGACACUGAAUGUAGAGGUCGUUGAUUCUGCAGCACCAGCAAACUGACACAUAACACCGUGUUUAAUAUUGGGUUCUGGGCUUUGGGGUCCCUGCAGAGUUCCUGAUUUCAGCCCCAAGGGCUCAUUCACAAAUUUAUUACUCAGAUUCUACCCUGUCAACCCAGGACGUGUUACUUACACAUUUCCCAGUGUGGGCAGCAAGCCACCCAGGUGCCGAGGCAAGAGACCGAGGGCACAAGCUGUUCCAGUAUAAUAAAGAAAACAUAUAAAAUAAGAAUAGUUAUACUAGAUAUAGAUCGUAGAUAUGAUUAUAUAUGAAUAUUACUAAUCAUUAGUCUGUAGCAAUUACUCUUUAUUCCAUUAUAAUAAUAAUCUUCUCUCUACAAUUAUAACUUAAGAGAAACCAGGCCAUACAGAGAUAGGAGCUGAACGGACACAGUGAGAAAUGACCAGAAGACAAGAGUGUGAGCCUUCUAUUAUGCCCCGA
rnacentral:lncRNA from 1 species